rnacentral:piRNA from 1 species
UAGCAGAAAUGGAAGCAGAGGCAAGAGGUC